ACAUGCCUACAACAUAGCAUUAAUGCAUUGGAUCCCAUUAGAACUUCGUAGUUAAGAGCGCUCAAGCAAGAGUAGUAAUGGGAUGGGUGAUCACACGAUAAGACCUAGUGUUUUACAUGCC
rnacentral:rRNA from 1 species